UACGUAGGGGGCAAGCGUUGUCCGGAUUUAUUGGGCGUAAAGAGCGUGUAGGCGGUCUGGUAGGUCCGUUGUGAAAACUCGAGGCUCAACCUCGAGACGCCGAUGGAAACCAUCAGACUAGAGUCCGGAAGAGGAGAGUGGAAUUCCUGGUGUAGCGGUGAAAUGCGCAGAUAUCAGGAAGAACACCCGUGGUUAAGGCGGCUCUCUGGGACGGUACUGACGCUGAGACGCGAAAGCGUGGGGAGCGAACAGG
rnacentral:rRNA from 1 species